rnacentral:rRNA from 1 species
AAUCAACGCUGGCGGCGUGCCUAACACAUGCAAGUCGAACGCGGUGUUCCCGCAAGGGAGCACUGAGUGGCGAACGGGUGAGUAACACGUGGGUGACCUACCUUCGAGUGGGGGAUAACGUUCCGAAAGGAACGCUAAUACCGCAUAACAUCCUGCCUUUGAACAGGCGGAGAUCAAAGCCGGGGAUCGCAAGACCUGGCGCUGGAUGGAGGGGCCCGCGUCCGAUUAGCUAGGUUGGUGAGGUAAUGGCCCACCAAGGCGACGAUCGGUAACCGGCCUGAGAGGGCGGACGGUCACACUGGGACUGAGACACGGCCCAGACUCCUACGGGAGGCAGCAGUGGGGAAUUGUUCGCAAGUGGGCGCAAGCCUGACGACGCAACGCCGCGUGGAGGAUGACGGUCUUCGGAUUGU